rnacentral:rRNA from 1 species
ACCCUGUGACAUACCUAUAACGUUGCCUCGGCGGGAACAGACGGCCCCGUAACACGGGCCGCCCCCGCCAGAGGACCCCCUAACUCUGUUUCUAUAAUGUUUCUUCUGAGUAAACAAGCAAAUAAAUUAAAACUUUCAACAACGGAUCUCUUGGCUCUGGCAUCGAUGAAGAACGCAGCGAAAUGCGAUAAGUAAUGUGAAUUGCAGAAUUCAGUGAAUCAUCGAAUCUUUGAACGCACAUUGCGCCCGCCAGUAUUCUGGCGGGCAUGCCUGUUCGAGCGUCAUUACAACCCUCAGGCCCCCGGGCCUGGCGUUGGGGAUCGGCGGAAGCCCCCUGCGGGCACAACGCCGUCCCCCAAAUACAGUGGCGGUCCCGCCGCAGCUUCCAUUGCGUAGUAGCUAACACCUCGCAACUGGAGAGCGGCGCGGCCACGCCGUAAAACACCCAACUUCUGAAUGUUGACCUCGAAUCAGGUAGGAAUACCCGCUGAACUUAAGCA